rnacentral:rRNA from 1 species
AGUGAACGCUGGCGGCGUGCUUAACACAUGCAAGUCGAACGAGAACGGAAUAUAGCUUGCUAUAUUUGUCAGCUAAGUGGCGCACGGGUGAGUAAUGUAUAGAUAACCUGCCCUUAAGAAAGGAAUAACAGUUGGAAACGACUGCUAAUGCCCUAUAUGCCUUUAAUACAUAAGUAUGCAAGGGAAACGCUUUAGUGCUUAAGGAUGGGUCUGUAUGGUAUCAGCUUGUUGGUGAGGUAAUGGCUCACCAAGGCUAUGACGCCUAACUGGUUUGAGAGGAUGAUCAGUCACACUGGAACUGAGACACGGUCCAGACUCAUACGGGAGGCAGCAGUGGGGAAUAUUGCAAAAUGGACGAAAGUCUGAUGCAGCAACGCCGCGUGGAGGAUGACACAUUUCGGUGCGUAAACUCCUUUUAUAUAGGAAGAUAAUGACGGUACUAUAUGAAUAAGCACCGGCUAACUCCGUGCCAGCCGCCGCGGUAA